rnacentral:rRNA from 1 species
AGGACGAACGCUGGCGGCGUGCUUAACACAUGCAAGUCGAGCGGUAAGGCUCCUUCGGGAGUACACGAGCGGCGAACGGGUGAGUAACACGUGAGCAAUCUGCCCUUCACUUUGGGAUAACUUCCGGAAACGGAAGCUAAUACCGAAUACGACCAUUACAGACAUCUGUUGAUGGUGGAAAGUUCCGGCGGUGAAGGAUGAGCUCGCGGCCUAUCAGCUUGUUGGUGAGGUAACGGCCCACCAAGGCGACGACGGGUAGCCGGCCUGAGAGGGUGACCGGCCACACUGGGACUGAGACACGGCCCAGACUCCUACGGGAGGCAGCAGUGGGGAAUAUUGGACAAUGGGCGAAAGCCUGAUCCAGCAACGCCGCGUGAGGGAUGACGGCCUUCGGGUUGUAAACCUCUUUCUAGCAGGGACGAAGCGAGAGUGACGGUACCUGCAAAGAAGCACCGGCCAACUACGUGCCAGCAGCCGCGGUAA